rnacentral:rRNA from 1 species
UACAGAGGGUGCAAGCGUUGUUCGGAAUUACUGGGCGUAAAGCGCACGUAGGCGGCGAUUUAAGUCAGAGGUGAAAGCCCGGGGCUCAACCCCGGAAUAGCCUUUGAGACUGGAUUGCUUGAAUCACGGAGAGGUGGGUGGAAUUCCGAGUGUAGAGGUGAAAUUCGUAGAUAUUCGGAAGAACACCAGUGGCGAAGGCGGCCCACUGGACGUGUAUUGACGCUGAGGUGCGAAAGCGUGGGGAGCAAACAGG